AAAAGGAGGACUUUAUGAGGGAGGGCUUGUAACAUCCCUAAAUGAGGACAAAGACAGAGAAUAAAUGAAAUAUGAUGGAAAUCCACUUCCUAGGCAGAAGAGGAAAUAAGGGAUGUGAAUGAUGUCCAAGUAACCUCAGUCUCAAAGAUGGCUAUGUCUAGGGCAAAAGAUUGACUGUAUUUUUUGAUUUAAAAGGUCAGAUUGUUGUCCUUCAGUUGUAUUUUUGGAGAGGGGUGUUUUCUUUCUCAAGUGUUUGGACUACUAGAUCUAAAUGUAA
rnacentral:misc_RNA from 1 species